CCUACGGGUGGCAGCAGUCGAGAAUCAUUCACAAUGGGGGAAACCCUGAUGGUGCGACGCCGCGUGGGGGAAUGAAUGUCUUCGGAUUGUAAACCCCUGUCAUGUGGGAGCAAAUUAAAAAGAUCGUACCACAAGAGGAAGAGACGGCUAACUCUGUGCCAGCAGCCGCGGUAAUACAGAGGUCUCAAGCGUUGUUCGGAAUCACUGGGCGUAAAGCGUGCGUAGGCUGUUUCGUAAGUCGUGUGUGAAAGGCGCGGGCUCAACCCGCGGACGGCACAUGAUACUGCGAGACUAGAGUAAGGGAGGGGGAACCGGAAGUCUCGGUGUAGCAGUGAAAUGCGUAGAUAUCGAGAGGAACACUCGUGGCGAAGGCGGGUUCCUGGACAUUAACUGACGCUGAGGCACGAAGGCCAGGGGAGCGAAAGGGAUUAGAUACCCCAGUAGUC
rnacentral:rRNA from 1 species